CUUCCCACAAGUUUUUCCCAUCUAGUUCCCACAUAGUUUUUUCCAUAUACUUCCACUUGUGUGAAGAUAGCUCCCCUAAAGACUUUGUUAAUAACUUUUUAACUAGAGGUGUGUAAACGAAAAUUCGACCUGUUCGGAAAAGUGCAAACAAAAUUCUAUCGAAUAAAUACCAUUUUAAGCACAACAUUCUUGUUUCUAUUUCAUCUGCCGAUGUCACUCGCUUCUGAAACUUUAAUUGUUAAUAACUUUUUAACUAGAGAUCCGAAUAUAGACAGACAGAUCAAUAGAUCAACAAAUCAAAAGAGUAUCUUACGGAUUGAAUUUGAAGAGGUUUUCCAUUUCUUGGAAAAAAAUUAUGCAUCAGGAUAUGCGGAAUAGAGUGCGAUCUUGGAAGAUCGGUAAAAGACGUAAUUAUACCGAAAGGUUGCCUAUAUUUUUCAGAGAAUGAAGAUUCAGAGGAUGAGUGCUAACCAAAUUUGAAACCUUCUCAAUUAAUUAAAAAAAUUAUUAAAAUAACAACAAAAGUUUAUAUUCAUGUAUUAUUUCAUUGUUAAAACUUGUAUAAAUUAAAAAAGAAAAUAUCAAGAAAGUAUUCAACUUAGAUUUACGCGAAGGUUCCAUCGUACCUUAUAUAAGAACAUUUCAUCCCAAUCUAAAAAUUCAGAAUAAAAAUUAAAUAC